UGAUCCAGCUUGCAGAGGUAGCAGCCAGAGACAGCUGCAGGGAAAAAAAAAUAACAGAAGGCAAGAAGGACCCAGCUUGGCUGGAUCUGUGGCUGUCGGCAACACAGAGAAAGAAGGAAAGCCCUGGAAAACUCAAGGACUGGGAGAGAUGGUAGAGAAAGAGGUAGCUAGAGCAAGAAAAAGGCAGCAAUGAUGACUGGGCUUCUGGUUCCAGGGAUCUUGGUGGCUUGGAGGAAAGCCCCAUCUUGGGUCUGCUGUUCCGGGCAACAUGCAAAGGAAAAAAGAGGACUUGUUCUGCUCUGAGAGUGAGAAGUGACUCACGGUUUUGGUAUCUCCUACGUAACAGCUUUGGGGGGAUUCCUUGGCUGGCUGACAAGGAAAGGAAGAAAGCAGCGGCAGUGAGGGAAAACACGAUUACUUCCAACUGCCUUGCGGAGGAGAUGCAGUCAUUUGGUUCGCCUGGAACAGCUUGCCGCUCUCUGAUGGCACGAGGAGGGAGAAUAAUUAAAAAGGCCAGCAUCACUUACUAAGGAUUACUGGAAAAGACAGUGCAAUGAUGACAGGAAAACAUCUUGGACCAGAGCCAAAAAAAAAAAAAAUCGAGGCAAAUCAAGUCUGCAGUUUGGAGAAAAACACCCUUUGCUCCUGUUGGAGGUUCCGACAGGAAUCACCUGGUGUAUUCUUCUGCCCAAUGUGGAAUGUUAUCUGGGCACCAGGGGACUGGAUCAGGGAUCACCGAGGGUCCAGAGGAGUAACCACCCUCAUACCAGGUUACACACUCAUGUCAUGAUCUGAGAAAAUAAAACCAUUAAAACCAA